GACGAACGCUGGCGGCGUGCCUAAUACAUGCAAGUCGAACGCUUCUUUUUCACCGAACUUCGGUUCAUCGAAAAAGAGGAGUGGCGAACGGGUGAGUAACACGUGGGUAACCUGCCCAUCAGAAGGGGAUAACACUUGGAAACAGGUGCUAAUACCGUAUAAUGCUUUUUCUCGCAUGAGAGCAAGCUGAAAGGCGCUUUUGCGUCACUGAUGGAUGGACCCGCGGUGCAUUAGCUAGUUGGUGAGGUAACGGCUCACCAAGGCCACGAUGCAUAGCCGACCUGAGGGGGUGAUCGGCCACACUGGGACUGAGACACGGCCCAGACUCCUACGGGAGGCAGCAGUAGGGAAUCUUCGGCAAUGGACGAAAGUCUGACCGAGCAACGCCGCGUGAGUGAAGAAGGUUUUCGGAUCGUAAAACUCUGUUGUUAGAGAAGAACAAGGAUGAGAGUAAAAUGUUCAUCCCUUGACGUAUCUAACCAGAA
rnacentral:rRNA from 1 species